GAUGAACGCUGGCGGCGUGCUUAACACAUGCAAGUCGAACGAAGCAUUUAAGACAGAUUACUUCGGUUUGAGGUCUUUUAUGACUGAGUGGCGGACGGGUGAGUAACGCGUGGGUAACCUGCCUCAUACAGGGGGAUAGCAGCUGGAAACGGCUGGUAAUACCGCAUAAGCGCACAGUACCACAUGGUACAGUGUGAAAAACUCCGGUGGUAUGAGAUGGACCCGCGUCUGAUUAGCUUGUUGGCGGGGUAACGGCCCACCAAGGCGACGAUCAGUAGCCGACCUGAGAGGGUGACCGGCCACAUUGGGACUGAGACACGGCCCAGACUCCUACGGGAGGCAGCAGUGGGGAAUAUUGCACAAUGGAGGAAACUCUGAUGCAGCGACGCCGCGUGAGUGAAGAAGUAGUUCGCUAUGUAAAGCCCUAUCAGCAGGGAAGAUAGUGACGGUACCUGACUAAGAAGCGCCGGCUAAAUACGUG
rnacentral:rRNA from 1 species